CCGCCGGCGACCGGCGCACGGGUGAGUAACACGUAUGCAACCUGGCCGCCACAGGGGGAUAACCCGCGGAAACGCGGCCUAAUACCCCGUGACGCCACCGGAGGGCAUCCUCCGGUGGCCAAAGGAGCGAUCCGGUGGCGGAUGGGCAUGCGGCGCAUUAGCUAGACGGCGGGGUGACGGCCCACCGUGGCGACGAUGCGUAGGGGUUCUGAGAGGAAGGCCCCCCACACUGGGACUGAGACACGGCCCAGACUCCUACGGAAGGCAGCAG
rnacentral:rRNA from 1 species